GCAGCAGUAGGGAAUCUUCCACAAUGGACGCAAGUCUGAUGGAGCAACGCCGCGUGAGUGAAGAAGGUUUUCGGAUCGUAAAGCUCUGUUGUUGGUGAAGAAGGAUAGAGGUAGUAACUGGCCUUUAUUUGACGGUAAUCAACCAGAAAGUCACGGCUAACUACGUGCCAGCAGCCGCGGUAAUACGUAGGUGGCAAGCGUUGUCCGGAUUUAUUGGGCGUAAAGCGAGCGCAGGCGGAAAAAUAAGUCUAAUGUGAAAGCCCUCGGCUUAACCGAGGAAUUGCAUCGGAAACUGUUUUUCUUGAGUGCAGAAGAGGAGAGUGGAACUCCAUGUGUAGCGGUGGAAUGCGUAGAUAUAUGGAAGAACACCAGUGGCGAAGGCGGCUCUCUGGUCUGCAACUGACGCUGAGGCUCGAAAGCAUGGGUAGCGAACAGGAUUAGAUACCCUGGUAGUCCAUGCCGUAAACGAUGAGUGCUAAGUGUUGGGAGGUUUCCGCCUCUCAGUGCUGCAGCUAACGCAUUAAGCACUCCGCCUGGGGAGUACGACCGCAAGGUUGAAACUCAAAGGAAUUGACGGGGGCCCGCACAAGCGGUGGAGCAUGUGGUUUAAUUCGAAGCAACGCGAAGAACCUUACCAGGUCUUGACAUCUAGUGCAAUCUGUAGAGAUACGGAGUU
rnacentral:rRNA from 1 species